CGUUACAGACAUGAGACCUAGCAGGGGCUGUGUAGAGAAGUGGGUGGAGCCGGGCUCUGAGGUAGUUAAAGAUUCAGAGCUGGGGUUGCUGAAAGAGUUCAGCAAAGCAGAACGAGGAAGAGCAGGAGGGUGAAGGAAAGGAGAACGUUCUGGAAGCCAAGUGAUAAUGCUGUUUGACAAAGAGGAAGUGGCUCACUAAGUCACAUGUCAGCAUAGGCUGAUGACCAGCAGCUGACAGACAGAGGCAGCUGAGAGAGCCAGCUUUGUGGCCCAAGGCUGGCAUUGGAGUGGACCCUGAAUGAUGGCUCUUCUCUCCGACGCUCCAGCGAUCCUGAGAGUGAAGAAGUGGAGCAUGCUCGGAACUUGGUGGACUUGUGGAAGUCUGAGGAAACUCAGAUUCUUGGCCUCUCCAGUGUGAGGCAGCCAUGGCUGAACUACCUGGACCACACCCUAAGCCAAUCUAAUAAAUCCUCCUUUAAUAUC
rnacentral:lncRNA from 1 species